GCCGGGAUGGUGAAAUUGGUAGACACGCCGGACUCAAAAUCCGGUGGGGUAAAACCCGUGUCGGUUCGAGUCCGACUCCCGGCACCA
rnacentral:tRNA from 1 species